CAAGACUGUGCUGGCAAUUCCACAACUCCAAUCCAACAAGCAUCGCUAGAACAUGGACUGCAUGCCAGGUUCUGUUUAUACCCAGAGUUCCAGGAGAAGACAGGCACUUGUGAAAGAUUAAACAAGAGUACACGGAUUAAAUAGCUAGACCCUAGGACAACACCUGACCUGCUAUCACAGCAGCAUACCAUGUGCCAUGUGGCAGGAGCAAGAUAUUCUUUAUAGGGUAAUGGGGACCAAAGCCAGGCCUUGAGAACAGACAGGACUUGGAAACAGAAAGAGGAGGCUACAAAGAGAAUGUUCUAGAUCAUAUCAGGAAGCAGAGAACACUGAGGACUGGGAAGAAAUCACAUUGGCUAUGCUAGAUGGGUCAGAGCAUAGGAGCACGAGAGAAAAGUCCAGUCCGUAUAUGGAUGACUCCAAAAACGCCAGCUUCUGGAGCUGGCCCUCUGGGAAACCAGAAAACCACUAAAC
rnacentral:lncRNA from 1 species